GAGUUUGAUCCUGGCUCAGGACGAACGCUGGCGGCGUGCCUAAUACAUGCAAGUAGAACGCUGAAGAGAGGAGCUUGCUCUUCUUGGAUGAGUUGCGAACGGGUGAGUAACGCGUAGGUAACCUGCCUUGUAGCGGGGGAUAACUAUUGGAAACGAUAGCUAAUACCGCAUAACAAUAGGUGACACAUGUCAUUUAUUUGAAAGGGGCAAUUGCUCCACUACAAGAUGGACCUGCGUUGUAUUAGCUAGUAGGUGAGGUAACGGCUCACCUAGGCGACGAUACAUAGCCGACCUGAGAGGGUGAUCGGCCACACUGGGACUGAGACACGGCCCAGACUCCUACGGGAGGCAGCAGUAGGGAAUCUUCGGCAAUGGGGGCAACCCUGACCGAGCAACGCCGCGUGAGUGAAGAAGGUUUUCGGAUCGUAAAGCUCUGUUGUAAGUCAAGAACGAGUGUGAGAGUGGAAAGUUCACACUGUGACGGUAGCUUACCAGAAAGGGACGGCUAACUACGUGCCAGCAGCCGCGGUAAUACGUAGGUCCCGAGCGUUGUCCGGAUUUAUUGGGCGUAAAGCGAGCGCAGGCGGUUUGAUAAGUCUGAAGUUAAAGGCUGUGGCUCAACCAUAGUUCGCUUUGGAAACUGUCAAACUUGAGUGCAGAAGGGGAGAGUGGAAUUCCAUGUGUAGCGGUGAAAUGCGUAGAUAUAUGGAGGAACACCGGUGGCGAAAGCGGCUCUCUGGUCUGUAACUGACGCUGAGGCUCGAAAGCGUGGGGAGCGAACAGGAUUAGAUACCCUGGUAGUCCACGCCGUAAACGAUGAGUGCUAGGUGUUGGAUCCUUUCCGGGAUUCAGUGCCGCAGCUAACGCAUUAAGCACUCCGCCUGGGGAGUACGACCGCAAGGUUGAAACUCAAAGGAAUUGACGGGGGCCCGCACAAGCGGUGGAGCAUGUGGUUUAAUUCGAAGCAACGCGAAGAACCUUACCAGGUCUUGACAUCCCGAUGCUAUUUCUAGAGAUAGAAAGUUACUUCGGUACAUCGGUGACAGGUGGUGCAUGGUUGUCGUCAGCUCGUGUCGUGAGAUGUUGGGUUAAGUCCCGCAACGAGCGCAACCCCUAUUGUUAGUUGCCAUCAUUCAGUUGGGCACUCUAGCGAGACUGCCGGUAAUAAACCGGAGGAAGGUGGGGAUGACGUCAAAUCAUCAUGCCCCUUAUGACCUGGGCUACACACGUGCUACAAUGGUUGGUACAACGAGUUGCGAGUCGGUGACGGCAAGCUAAUCUCUUAAAGCCAAUCUCAGUUCGGAUUGUAGGCUGCAACUCGCCUACAUGAAGUCGGAAGCGCUAGUAAUCGCGGAUCAGCACGCCGCGGUGAAUACGUUCCCGGGCCUUGCACACACCGCCCGUC
rnacentral:rRNA from 1 species